GAAUUUUGAACCGUGUUCAUUAUGAUAUUAUUAUGACCUGAGUUGAGUUUUGGAGUUUGUAUUUUCAAGCUUGUGUGCUCAUCUGCCAGUCAGUGUCUUUAAGAGUGGGGUUCUGUUCAUUUUCGGCAACACGAAUUGGUUUCUUCUUGGGAUUCAAUUGUACGGGGAAAGUGCAAUGGAAGACCGGGAAAACAGCGAUCCCCAACGAAGCGAUCAAGAGGAUUUAGUCAAAGAUGAGGACAAUUGCUGGAGCCAAGAAAAUGUCGAUCGAGCAGUUCGUACAUUUGUCUCUAUUUGUCUUGGCGAGGAACGACCAUACGAGUAUAAUAUCAACCAGCAGAGAGCGAGGGACGCGGAUUCCAGGGAACAAAGGGUGCAGACUGCCACCCUCAAUCCUCUUGAAACUCAGUCACAUGUCCAAGCAAGUGCCGGAGAUUCCCGAGAAAAACAUACACAGGGACUGUGUGGUGACGAUUCCAGGACGGCUAAAAACGACUACACAAAGGACAAUUCAAGGGGCGCUGCUAGCCGGACAGUUUGCGACCUUGGACAACGUGGACACUAUGUGAAGGCACCUCCGAAGUUGGGUGGUAUAGGAGGAGUAUAUACCUCGCCAUGCAGUUCCGCAACGCCAAUGCCAUCUGUUCGCCCAGUCGGAAGUAUCCCAGGUUUAGGAGUUCCUUCGGAAACUUCAGUCCAAAAAGAACCUGCUCUGGAAGCGAUCGGUACUCAGAUUAACGAUCAGCAGAAAGAACUUUGGACAGAAGUUAUAUCAGGCUAUUCUAAUGAUGCUGAUAUGCGUUGGGGUCCAGAACAAACCAGACAGUUACACAGCUACCUCCACGAAGACACCCCUACCGCACCGUAUACAUCCGAUCGCUGCCAAAACAAAGAUACACAGAGUCGUGCUGCAGAGAUUUUUGCUGAUAUGGCGGC